GACGAACGCUGGCGGCGUGCCUAAUACAUGCAAGUAGAACGCAGUUGCGAACGGGUGAGUAACGCGUAGGUAACUGCCUCAUAGCGGGGGAUAACUAUUGGAAACGAUAGCUAAUACCGCAUACUGUGAGAUGGACCUGCGUUGUUUUAGCUAGUUGGUGAGGGAAAGGGUCACCAAGGCGACGAUACAUAGCCGACCUGGGAGGGUGAUCCGCCACAAUGGGAAUGGGGCACGGCCCCAGAUCCUACGGGAGGCAGCAGUAGGGAAAGUUCGGAAAUGGGGCGAAGUCCGACCAAGCCACUGCGCGGUGGUGGAGAAGGGUUUCGGAUCGGAAAGGUAUUUUGUUAGGGGAGCGGUAACGAACGAAAAAGGAACGGCUAACUACGUGCCAGCAGCCGCGGUAAUAC
rnacentral:rRNA from 1 species